GGCGAACGGGUGAGUAACACGUGAGCAACCUGCCCCUGACUCUGGGAUAAGCGCUGGAAACGGCGUCUAAUACUGGAUACGAGUAGCGACCGCAUGGUCAGUUACUGGAAAGAUUUAUUGGUUGGGGAUGGGCUCGCGGCCUAUCAGCUUGUUGGUGAGGUAAUGGCUCACCAAGGCGUCGACGGGUAGCCGGCCUGAGAGGGUGACCGGCCACACUGGGACUGAGACACGGCCCAGACUCCUACGGGAGGCAGCAGUGGGGAAUAUUGCACAAUGGGCGCAAGCCUGAUGCAGCAACGCCGCGUGAGGGAUGACGGCCUUCGGGUUGUAAACCUCUUUUAGCAGGGAAGAAGCGAAAGUGACGGUACCUGCAGAAAAAGCGCCGGCUAACUACGUGCCAGCAGCCGCGGUAAUACGUAGGGCGCAAGCGUUAUCCGGAAUUAUUGGGCGUAAAGAGCUCGUAGGCGGUUUGUCGCGUCUGCUGUGAAAUCCGGAGGCUCAACCUCCGGCCUGCAGUGGGUACGGGCAGACUAGAGUGCGGUAGGGGAGAUUGGAAUUCCUGGUGUAGCGGUGGAAUGCGCAGAUAUCAGGAGGAACACCGAUGGCGAAGGCAGAUCUCUGGGCCGUAACUGACGCUGAGGAGCGAAAGGGUGGGGAGCAAACAGGCUUAGAUACCCUGGUAGUCCACCCCGUAAACGUUGGGAACUAGUUGUGGGGUCCAUUCCACGGAUUCCGUGACGCAGCUAACGCAUUAAGUUCCCCGCCUGGGGAGUACGGCCGCAAGGCUAAAACUCAAAGGAAUUGACGGGGACCCGCACAAGCGGCGGAGCAUGCGGAUUAAUUCGAUGCAACGCGAAGAACCUUACCAAGGCUUGACAUAUACGAGAACGGGCCAGAAAUGGUCAACUCUUUGGACACUCGUAAACAGGUGGUGCAUGGUUGUCGUCAGCUCGUGUCGUGAGAUGUUGGGUUAAGUCCCGCAACGAGCGCAACCCUCGU
rnacentral:rRNA from 1 species